rnacentral:rRNA from 1 species
AUUGAACGCUGGCGGCAUGCUUUACACAUGCAAGUCGAACGGCAGCGCAGUCUGCGGCUUGGCGGACAGUGGCCGACGGGCGGGCAGUGCAUCGGAACAUCGCCAGCUGCGGUGGCGAGCGCGGUGACGGCCGGAUUCUUACGCCAAUAGCCCUGACGACGUACGGGGGGGAGCGAGAGGUCUUCCGCCCUUGCGCCGGCCGAUGUGCGGAUGUCGGAUUAGCUAGUUGGCGGGGUAAAGGCCUACCAAGGCGACGAUCCGUAGCUGGUCUGAGAGGACGACCAGCCACACUGGGACUGAGACACGGUCCAGACUCCUACGGGAGGCAGCAGUGGGGAAUAUUGGACAAUGGGGGCAACCCUGAUCCAGCCAUGCCGCGUGCGGGAAGAAGGCCUUCGGGUUGUAAACCGCUUUUGUUCGGGAAGAAAACCUGUGGGCUAAUACCCCGGGGGGAUGACGGUACCGGAAGAAUAAGCACCGGCUAACUACGUG